rnacentral:rRNA from 1 species
GAUCCAGAGAACUUAGCAGAGAUGCUUUGGUGCCUUCGGGAACUCUGAGACAGGUGCUGCAUGGCUGUCGUCAGCUCGUGUUGUGAAAUGUUGGGUUAAGUCCCGCAACGAGCGCAACCCUUAUCCUUUGUUGCCAGCGGUUCGGCCGGGAACUCAAAGGAGACUGCCGGUGAUAAACCGGAGGAGGGUGGGGAUGACGUCAAGUCAUCAUGGCCCUUACGGCCAGGGCUACACACGUGCUACAAUGGCGCAUACAAAGAGAAGCGACCUCGCGAGAGCAAGCGGACCUCAUAAAGUGCGUCGUAGUCCGGAUUGGAGUCUGCAACUCGACUCCAUGAAGUCGGAGUCGCUAGUAAUCGUAGAUCAGAAUGCUACGGUGAAUACGUUCCCGGGCCUUGCACACACCGCCCGUCACACCAUGGGAGUGGGUUGCAAAAGAAGUAGGUAGCUUAACCUUCGGGAGGGCGCUUACCACUUUGUGAUUCAUGACUGGGGUGAAGUCGUAACAAGGUAGGCGUAGCGAG